rnacentral:rRNA from 1 species
GACGAACCGUGCGAACGUUGUUCGGAAUCACUGGGCUUAAAGGGCGCGUAGGCGGGCCGGCAAGUCAGGGGUGAAAGCCCACGGCUCAACCGUGGAAGUGCCUUUGAUACUGCCGGUCUGGAGGGAAGUAGGGGCGUGCGGAACUUCCGGUGGAGCGGUGAAAUGCGUAGAUAUCGGAAGGAACACCGGUGGCGAAAGCGGCGCGCUGGACUUCUACUGACGCUGAGGCGCGAAAGCC